ACUGCAUAGCACCUUGGGCAAAUGUCUUCUACUAUAGCUUUGGGCUGACCAAAGCCUUGUGAGUGGAUUUGUAGGCAGAAACUCAAAAAAGCCUGCUGCAUAUAUAUGUGUGUGUAUGUGUCUUUGUGUCUGUGUUUCUUCCCCAUCACUGCUUGAUAACCGAUGUUGGUUUGUUUACCUACCUGCAACAUAGUGCUUCGGCAAAAAGAGUCUGAUAUAAUAAGUACCAGGCUUAAAGUAAAGAAAUGAGUACUGGGGCAUUGCCUUCUUCAAGGCAAUGCCCCAGCAAGGCUAUAGUUACAUGACCUAAACAGAUAAAAGAUACAUGUCUCAUGACCAGGUUACUGCACUUUGGGAUCAAAUUUAGAACCUUAACCAGAUCCCUUUUCAGCCAUACCAUGUUAACAAAGGGAAAUGUCUCUAUUUAUCACAUGCAUUCACUCUCGUUGCUUUAGUCUUUUUAUUAAUAUUUUAAGUUAUUCUUUCAUCCACUGUCCGCCACACUCACCCUUUCUUUCUCUCUGGCUUUUUCACCCACCACUCUUUCUCAUUCUAUCUUUACCUUUAUAAUCAAAAUAUUCGGUAGCACAACAAAUAUAAAUAAAACAAACAAUUUGAAACUUAUAAUGUAAACUGUCAAUUUUACAGUAUCAUAAAGAAUUGUUUUACUAUAAUGUCAUGUGUUAUUAUGUCUAUAUUUAAUGUGUGUAUGUGUGUUUAUAUAUAUUUGUCAAUAGAGUGGGUAUAUUAAAAUAUAAAGUAUAUAAGGGCUUUUAGUUCCAUUUCAGCCAAUCUUCCCAGUUGGUUUCACACUGGCCAUAGAUAACUGAUAUCUCUGAAGAGCACAUGGUGUUAGUUAACAGCAUAGUUAUUAAAUAUCCAGUUAUCUAAUACCCAGUGCAAAAUCAAUUGGUAAGAUCAGCUGAAAUGGAUCUAUAAUCCUAUAUACUUUGAUUAAUAUAUUUAUAAUAGUUGUGUGACAUGUAUGUAAUUUGUAUAUCAUUUUAAAUAUUUCAAAGAAGCGAGAUCUUUGGAUGUUGAGUCUCAUGGAGGUGAUGACAAGUGAUUGAGACCUUUGGUGAUUUGCUGUGCUUGAGAAGACACGUCAAACCAAUUGAAAUCGUAGACAUGGCCAGUGUCACUGACACAUAAAAGACACUUGUGCCCAUGACCGUGUAAAAGGCACCUGUGCUGGUGACAUGUUAAAGGCAGCCACUACACUGUGGUUGGCAUUAGGAAGGGUAUCCAGCCAUAGAAAUGAAGCCAAAUCAUUCUGGAGCCUGGUGCAGCUCCCCAGCUAACCAGUUCCAGUCAAACCAUCUAACCCAUACCAGUAUGGAAAGCAGAUGCUAAAUGAUGUUGAUGAUGAUGAUGAUGAGCUAAUUGUUCAUUUAAUCGGAUCAAAAUGUCGUGUACAUGCACACACCAGUGCAUUUCACUUUUCCUUUCUCCUUCCAUUUUGUUUUUUUUAUUUAAGUCAGGUCUAUUGAUAUUCUGGUGUGAUUGUGAACUUGUAAUUGGUAUUACUUGUUUAGAAGAGUUGUGCACAGACACGUGUAUUUCUUUAAUAUAUAGAAUUAGAAUUAUGGUUUGUAGACAAUUUAUGGGUGUUUCUAUGUAAAUCCAACUGAUUAUCUUUAUCUUGUCGAUCUGAUUUUAGAUUCAGUUUCCAUGGAGGUGUAUGGAGUUUGUAGAAAUAGGAAGACAGUUUACGCAUGCGUAUGUACAGAAAUAGAUGAAUGUUUGAAAUUCAGAGUUGCAAAGCAUCUAAUGAGAGGAGAGAAUGUCAAGUUAUGCUUGAACUUGGAAAUUAAUUAAAUAUCAGGUUGAACAGUUCAACAGGAACCGACAAAUGGGCAUAACUGCACCGAGCUCCUAUGUCUGUGUCCUAUCAAAAGACAAGGCUGUAGGGUCAUAUAUGGAAAGCCUCUGAUCAUAGAUCUACUCAUUCAGGGUUGACUUGGGAUUAAGCACCAACAUGCCACUAAAAAUAUUUGUCUGAUUAGAGUUACUGAGCUUUAAGCCCAUCUUUUUCCUGGCUACCAUCGAUCACAAAGCUUUAUGACACAAGCCGACAACAGACCACCAAACUUCUUUGUGGUUGCUUGACCAACUAGAAAUAGAAGCCAAAUCCUUUUUAAAAAAAACAGAAAAGGAAGGCUACAUUGGGCAAUGUAGUCACGGAUACAGUGUUAGAAGAUGAGAUUGGAUGGUCAUGGUUGGAAUAUCUUUGGUCACAGAUUUGCUAAAUCCAAGCUUACUUGGGAGACUAAACAACAACUUUCCUACACAACAGGGUAACCAACUUAUUUCUUGUUAGAUGCUAGGAAUAUUCUCUGUCUCCCUCUCUGUUACCUUAUUGUCCUAGUUCCAUGGAGUAUCACACUUCUGGCACACAAAACCUAGUUUAAUUCACGUUUCGUUUUUUUUUUUUUUAUUUGUUUGUUUAUUUUGUGGGGAAAGAGAAAAAAUUAUUUUUGCUGUCCAACAAUAAUACAAAUUCAUUUCUUCAAUUUCAAGCAGUUUCUCUAAAACUUUAAACAAAUCAAUGGCCUCAGUCAUGGACAGCAGCUUAUGGCCUGAAAAACUAAGGAAAAAUUACCUUAAUCCCUUUUUGUUACCAUAUUUCUGUUGAAAUGUGAAGGUGCAUGGCUCAGUGGCUAGAGCAUCAGGCUCACAAUCAUGUUGUAGUGAGUGUGAUUCCCAUACCACAUUGCUCCAGUUCACUCAGCUGUAGAAAUGAGUUAUGAUGUCACUGGUUCCAAGCUGUAUUGGCCUUUACCUUUCCCUUGGAUAACAUCGGUGGCAUGGAGAGAGGAAGCUGUUAUGCAUGGGUGACUGCUGGUCUUCCAUAAACAACCUUGCCUGGACUUGUGC